rnacentral:tRNA from 1 species
UGUCCAAUGCGGGAAUCGAACCCAGGUCAUAGUGGUCGAAAACCAAACGGUUUAACCAGCCUUCAACCGAACCUUUUGAUAAGGC